GACGAACGCUGGCGGCGUGCUUAACACAUGCAAGUCGAACGAAAAUACCAAGCUUGCUUGGUUGAUUAGUGGCGAACGGGUGAGUAACACGUGAGUAACCUGCCCCUUACUUUCCUGGAUAACUGCUCGAAAGGGUAGCUAAUACGGGAUAUUCUGACCAGCCUGCAUGGGUUGGUUUGGAAAGUUUGUUUUUCGGGUAAGGGAUGGGCUCGGGGCCUAUCAGCUUGUUGGUGGGGUGAUGGCCUACCAAGGCUUUGACGGGUAGCCGGCCUGAGAGGGUGGACGGGUACACUGGGAAUGAGAUGCGGCCCAGACUCCUACGGGAGGCAGCAGUGGGGAAUAUUGCACAAUGGGCGCAAGCCUGAUGCAGCGACGCCGCGUGAGGGAUGAAGGCCUUCGGGUUGUAAACCUCUUUCGUCAGGGAACAAGGCACUGCUUGUUUGGUGGUGUUGAGGGUACCUGGAUAAGAAGCGCCGGCUAACUACGUG
rnacentral:rRNA from 1 species